UAUGUAGGGUGCAAGCGUUGUCCGGAAUUAUUGGGCGUAAAGAGCUCGUAGGCGGUUUGUCGCGUCUGCCGUGAAAGUCCGGGGCUCAACUCCGGAUCUGCGGUGGGUACGGGCAGACUAGAGUGAUGUAGGGGAGACUGGAAUUCCUGGUGUAGCGGUGGAAUGCGCAGAUAUCAGGAGGAACACCAAUGGCGAAGGCAGAUCUCUGGGCCGUAACUGACGCUGAGGAGCGAAAGCAUGGGGAGCGAACAGG
rnacentral:rRNA from 1 species